CAACCUCGUUCCCAGGGCCUUUUUUGAAAAUUCUGCGAUGGGAAAAGGUUUUCCUUUCUUCUUUUUUUCCUUUUCCCAUCGCCGAAUUUUCAAAAAAGGCCCUGGGAACGAGGUUGA